rnacentral:lncRNA from 1 species
UGAUCACCUCAUUAGGUAGACUAACUAACAGAUCUAGUAUUUUUCAAAAACUCAUGUAUAUGAAAAAAUAAAGUGCCAUGUCUCUGAAUGAAAAACAUAGAAUGUAAAUCUACAGCUGAUAAAGAUUGUACUUUGGCAGUUGUAGUCAAGGCAAAUAAAGACACAAGUAUAAAAGACAGUCUUCAAUGUUAAAUCCUCUAAUGAAUAUAAAGAACUUAAAAAAGAUAGCACUAAAUUCAUCUCCACAGUGAAAGAGUAUCUAACUCUUCAAUUGCAGAUUCAGGUUUAAGCAACCUUUCACAUAUGCAUGUAGUAAACAAACAAAUUUAGUAACAUCUACUUCUUAAAGGAUCAAGUCUGUUUCAACAUAAAACAAGUAAAAUUCACAUUAAACAU